AAGAAAUAACCGUUAAGGAGGAAUACCGGGACUCACCGUGCGUUCUCCACUGGCAGAGACAGGUGGCUGUGCGAACACGAAAGAUACGGCUGGAGGAUUUCCCGAAGGUGCUCAGGCAACGUUGGCCGGUCCGAAGCUCCUGAUUGUCUGGUCAGUCAGAGCACCUGGAUCUACAUAGAGUGACAUCAUGUGACCACUGUCCCCAUGCCCCCUGGUGAGCAGUACUGAUGACAGUGGAGUUCGGAUCAUGUGUCUUCACUGAGAUGUGUGUCUCUUUCUCUCUCUCUCUCUGUCUCUCUCUAACACACACACACACACACACACACACAUUGUUCCCUGACAGAUCCUCACUGAGAUGUGUUUCUCCAGUUGUAAAGCUGUUGAAAUAAGAGAAAGCUGGCCCUGCUCUGAAGCUACAGGAGGGCCCAGCAGAGCAGAGUGGUGCUUAAGGAAUGGGGUGUGCACUCAGAGGGGUCGAUGUUCCCAUUGUUGUUGCACCCUUGAGUAAUGAACCUGACGUUCUGUAGUGGGUGUCCUGCCGUAUGGCGAGAUAGUGUGGUGCAGUCCACCCAUGUACAAACCCCCCUUCCCCCCUCCAUGGCACUUUCUGUAUGUCAUGCUGUCUCUGUCUGUAUUCCCUCUGCUUUCCCCAUCGAAUAAAGUGAAUAAACUGAAAAAUGCA